rnacentral:misc_RNA from 1 species
CGGGGUUUGUAAAUGAAACAAUGUAACAACCGGUUUUAUCUGAAGAACAGAUCUUGUAACGUACAUCCUUGACGUCUGCGUCAUUAUUGGCUUGAAGUGGUUACUGAUUUGAAUGCUGGAUAAGCCCAGACAGUUGACCCCAUCAAGCAAGCGAGCUGACCUCCGAGCCGAAGACCGGAACUGGUAUCGACGCGGAGUUGGGUCGCGCCUCUGCAUCAUUCCACCAAUC